GAUGAACGCUGGCGGCGUGCCUAAUACAUGCAAGUCGAGCGAACAGACGAGGAGCUUGCUCCUCUGACGUUAGCGGCGGACGGGUGAGUAACACGUGGAUAACCUACCUAUAAGACUGGGAUAACUUCGGGAAACCGGAGCUAAUACCGGAUAAUAUAUUGAACCGCAUGGUUCAAUAGUGAAAGACGGUUUUGCUGUCACUUAUAGAUGGAUCCGCGCCGCAUUAGCUAGUUGGUAAGGUAACGGCUUACCAAGGCAACGAUGCGUAGCCGACCUGAGAGGGUGAUCGGCCAAACUGGAAGUGAGACACGGUCCAGAAUACUACGGGAGGCAGCAGUAGGGAAUCUUCCGCAAUGGGCGAAAGCAUGACGGAGCAACGCCGCGUGAGUGAUGAAGGUCUUCGGAUCGUAAAACUCUGUUAUUAGGGAAGAACAAAUGUGUAAGUAAAUAUGCACGUCUUGACGGUACCUAAUCAGAAAGCCACGGCUAACUACGUG
rnacentral:rRNA from 1 species